rnacentral:snoRNA from 1 species
AUUUCAUGAUGAGGACAUUCCCAAAUGUACUCCUGGAGAUGUUCCCAUGCUUCAGGAAUGGUCUCUUUUGCCUUUUGACGGAAGCUAGAAAUUCUUACCCGCAGAGC